rnacentral:rRNA from 1 species
UUUUAUAGUAAAGUUGUUAUUUGAGUAGUAGUAGUGAUUCUUGAAACUUAAAGAAUUUGGCGGUAUAUUAAUCUAUUUAGAGGAACCUGUCCUGUAAUCGAUAGUCCACGUAAAUUUGACCUAAACUUGAAAUUCAGCUUGUAUAUCGCUGUCGUAAGAUUAUUUUAUGAGAAAUUUUUCAAUAAUAAAUUUUUAUUUAUGUCAAGUCAAGGUGCAGUAGAUGUUUAGGGUUGAGAUGGGUUACAAUAUAUGAAUGUAGACGAAUAAGGAUUUGUAAAGUUUGUUGAAGGUGGAUUUAAUUGUAAUAUAGAAUUAUUUAUUUUAUAUGGAAAAGUACUAAUAUAUGC